rnacentral:rRNA from 1 species
UACGGAGGGGGCUAGCGUUGUUCGGAAUUACUGGGCGUAAAGCGCGCGUAGGCGGUUUUGUAAGUUAGAGGUGAAAGCCCGGAGCUCAACUCCGGAACUGCCUUUAAGACUGCAUCGCUAGAAUCAUGGAGAGGUGAGUGGAAUUCCGAGUGUAGAGGUGAAAUUCGUAGAUAUUGGGAAGAACACCGGUGGCGAAGGCGGCGACCUGGUCCAUUACUGACGCUGAGGCGCGAAAGCGUGGGGAGCAAACAGG